GACGAACGCUGGCGGCGUGCCUAAUACAUGCAAGUGGAACGCAUGAUUGAUACCGGAGCUUGCUCCACCAUUAAUCAUGAGUCGCGAACGGGUGAGUAACGCGUAGGUAACCUACCUCAUAGCGGGGGAUAACUAUUGGAAACGAUAGCUAAUACCGCAUAACAGUAUUUAUCACAUGGUAAAUGCUUGAAAGGAGCAAUUGCUUCACUAUGAGAUGGACCUGCGUUGUAUUAGCUAGUUGGUGGGGUAACGGCUCACCAAGGCAUCGAUACAUAGCCGACCUGAGAGGGUGAUCGGCCACACUGGGACUGAGACACGGCCCAGACUCCUACGGGAGGCAGCAGUAGGGAAUCUUCGGCAAUGGGGGGAACCCUGACCGAGCAACGCCGCGUGAGUGAAGAAGGUUUUCGGAUCGUAAAGCUCUGUUGUAAGAGAAGAACGUGUGUGAGAGUGGAAAGUUCACACAGUGACGGUA
rnacentral:rRNA from 1 species